CAGUAGCCGCGGUAAUACAGAGGGUGCGAGCGUUAAUCGGAUUUACUGGGCGUAAAGCGUGCGUAGGCGGCUUUUUAAGUCGGAUGUGAAAUCCCUGAGCUUAACUUAGGAAUUGCAUUCGAUACUGGGAAGCUAGAGUAUGGGAGAGGAUGGUAGAAUUCCAGGUGUAGCGGUGAAAUGCGUAGAGAUCUGGAGGAAUACCGAUGGCGAAGGCAGCCAUCUGGCCUAAUACUGACGCUGAGGUACGAAAGCAUGGGGAGCAAACAGGAUUAGAGACCCCAGUAGUCCCUGUCUCUUAUAC
rnacentral:rRNA from 1 species